rnacentral:rRNA from 1 species
UACGGAGGGAGCUAGCGUUAUUCGGAAUUACUGGGCGUAAAGCGUACGUAGGCGGCUUUGUAAGUUAGAGGUGAAAGCCCGGGGCUCAACCCCGGAAUUGCCUUUAAGACUGCAUCGCUAGAAUUGUGGAGAGGUAAGUGGAAUUCCGAGUGUAGAGGUGAAAUUCGUAGAUAUUCGGAAGAACACCAGUGGCGAAGGCGACUUACUGGACACAUAUUGACGCUGAGGUGCGAAAGCGUGGGGAGCAAACAGG